rnacentral:rRNA from 1 species
UACGAAGGGUGCAAGCGUUACUCGGAAUUACUGGGCGUAAAGCGUGCGUAGGUGGUUUGUUAAGUCUGAUGUGAAAGCCCUGGGCUCAACCUGGGAAUUGCAUUGGAUACUGGCAGGCUGGAGUACGGUAGAGGAAGGUGGAAUUCCCGGUGUAGCAGUGAAAUGCGUAGAUAUCGGGAGGAACACCAGUGGCGAAGGCGGCCUUCUGGACCAGUACUGACGCUCAUGCACGAAAGCGUGGGGAGCAAACAGG